CACGUAGGCACCAAGCGUUGUCCGGAUUUAUUGGGCGUAAAGAGCUCGUAGGCGGUUCAGUAAGUCGGGUGUGAAAACUUUGGGCUUAACCCAAAGCGUGCAUCCGAUACUGCUGUGACUUGAGUUCGGUAGGGGAGUGGGGAAUUCCUAGUGUAGCGGUGAAAUGCGCAGAUAUUAGGAGGAACACCGGUGGCGAAGGCGCCACUCUGGGCCGAAACUGGACGCUGAGGAGCGAAAGCAUGGGUAGCAAACAGGGAUUAAGAUAACCCUU
rnacentral:rRNA from 1 species